rnacentral:rRNA from 1 species
AUUGAACGCUGGCGGCAGGCCUAACACAUGCAAGUCGAACGAGUGGCGGACGUGUGAGUAAUGUCUGUUAAACUUCCUGAUGUAGGUGGAUAACUACUGGAAACGGUAGCUAAUACCACAUACCAUCGGAUGUGCCCAGAUGGGAUUAGCUAGUAGGUGGGGUAACGGCUCUCCUAGGCGACGAUCCCUAGCUGGUAUGACAGGAUGACAAGCCAGACGGGAAAUGAGGCAGGGUCCAAACACCUGCGAGAGGAAGCAGUGGGGAAUAUUGAACAAUGGGCGCAAGCCGGAUGGAGCGAUGCCGGGUGUAUGAAGAAGGCCGUCGAGUUGUAAAGUACUUUCAGCGGGGAGGGGGUACCCGCAGAAGAAGCACCGGCUAACUCCGUGCCAGCAGCCGCGGUAAUUC